GACGAACGCUGGCGGCGUGCUUAACACAUGCAAGUCGAGCGAUGAAGCUUCUUCGGAAGUGGAUUAGCGGCGGACGGGUGAGUAACACGUGGGUAACCUGCCUCAUAGAGGGGAAUAGCCUUCCGAAAGGAAGAUUAAUACCGCAUAAGAUUGUAAUAUCGCAUGAUAUAGCAAUUAAAGGAGCAAUCCGCUAUGAGAUGGACCCGCGUCGCAUUAGCUAGUUGGUGAGGUAACGGCUCACCAAGGCGACGAUGCGUAGCCGACCUGAGAGGGUGAUCGGCCACAUUGGGACUGAGACACGGCCCAGACUCCUACGGGAGGCAGCAGUGGGGAAUAUUGCACAAUGGGGGAAACCCUGAUGCAGCAACGCCGCGUGAGUGAUGACGGUCUUCGGAUUGUAAAGCUCUGUCUUUAGGGACGAUAAUGACGGUACCUAAGGAGGAAGCCACGGCUAACUACGUGCCAGCCGCCGCCGUAAGAC
rnacentral:rRNA from 1 species